GCUUGGAACCAGAAACUGGCAGCUGAAAUUGCCUCAUCUGCUAGUGUCUCCGUCCAUGGAUAGUCCCGCUCCCAUGGAAACACAUGUCAGAGCAGCACAUGCAGGGAUACGAUGACUCACAGUCCAGAGUUCCCAUUUCUCGCUCAGAGAAUCCGGGUGACAGCUCAGAAUAAACACAGAACUCCCAGAUGGCUAUGGGUAGGUGAGUCUGCAAGUUUGAAAGGAGAGAGAAAAAUUCUGAGACUCAUUUUCAAAGGGUGUGAAGAAAGAAAUAGAGCACUGGCAUUCAUCUUCAAAAAAGCUAGAAGUGAAGCUGCUCGUACAGCUCUCUGCCAGCAUUGGAGGUGGAAAGAAUGGGCCUGAAAUCUGUGCUCUUCAGUUCUCAACCAUCCAUUGGAAUGAGGUGUCCAGAGCAGAGCUAAGAAAAAGACGAAAACAGAAAGAGAUCAUUUGAUUUGACAGAAGUCUUACAUUGUGAUUUUGAUUCUUUAUUUGUCCAGACACCAAUAAAU
rnacentral:lncRNA from 1 species